rnacentral:misc_RNA from 1 species
GCGCUGCCAAAACAUGCGCUCCGCUCAAAUCUCAAUUGACAGCCCUUCCCUUGCUACCACGGUCCCCGGCCGCGCCUUCGCGGCGGCAGCGGCAAUACGGUCCAUCUCGUCAUCGUCGUGUUCGGGAUCGUGGUGAAACAGAUAGAGCUUGCCAACCCCCGCUUCAUUGGCCAGGCGGACGGCCUGCUGCCAGCUUGAGUGCCCCCAGCCGACAUGCUCGGGCAACUCCUCGUCGGUGUAUGUCGUGUCGAUGAUGACAAUCGACGCGUCGCGUGCGAGUUCGACCAGCCCCGGAUCGAUUUCAUCGGCACUGAGUUCGGUGUCUGUGAUGUAGGCCAUGGCGCGGCCGCCAAACUCGACGCGGUAUCCAGUUGCACCGCC